AUCAUGGAGAGUUUGAUCCUGGCUCAGAACGAACGCUGGCGGCGCGUCUUAAGCAUGCAAGUCGGACGGCAAGGAAGGAGCUUGCUCCUUCCCUAGAGUGGCGGACUGGUGAGGAACGCGUGGGUGACGUACCCUCCGGACGGGGAUAGCCGGUAGAAAUACCGGGUAAUACCGGAUAAGAGCGCCUCCUUGGAGGGGGGCGGAGAAAGCGGCUUCGGCCGCGCCGGAGGAACGGCCCGCGUGCUAUUAGCUGGUUGGCGGGGUAACGGCCCACCAAGGCGACGAUAGCUAUCCGGCCUGAGAGGGUGAACGGACACAUUGGGACUGAGAUACGGCCCAGACUCCUACGGGAGGCAGCAGCUAAGAAUAUUCCGCAAUGGGGGAAACCCUGACGGAGCGACGCCGCGUGGAUGAUGAAGGCCGGAAGGUUGUAAAGUCCUUUUGGGCGCAAAGAAUAAGUACGCGAGGAAAUGCGCGUGCGGUGACGGUAGCGCCUGAAUAAGCAACGGCUAAUUACGUGCCAGCAGCCGCGGUAACACGUAAGUUGCGAGCGUUGUUCGGAAUUAUUGGGCGUAAAGGGCAUGUAGGCGGUCGUGCAAGCUUGGUGUGAAAUCCCGGGGCU
rnacentral:ncRNA from 1 species